UCGGAUAUGGUGUAACGGCUAACAUUGCCGCCUCUCAAGUAUUUCGCGGCAGCUCAGGGUUCGAUUCCCCGUAUCCGAA